rnacentral:lncRNA from 1 species
AAGUUAAGGCCAAACAUAAUUUUUGUUAAAUUAAUUAUAAAUGAGAUCAUGAAACCAAAGAGCAGAUCAGAUAUAUGUUUGCAAAGGAAGGGCAACCAUCAUGUCCCCCAGCUCCAUUCGUACUACAGUUUAUCAGGUAUUGUAAGUAGUCUAGAGAUUAUUUAAAGUACUCGGGGGGAUAGGCAUAAGUUAUAUGCAAAAGACUAUGCCAUUUUAUGUCAGGAACUUGAGUGUCCUCCGGUUUUGGUAUUUGCAGGGAUCCUGGGACCAAUCCCUCUCCGAUACCAAGUAAUGACUGUACUCGGUUUCUAACUAACCAGUCCUUAUGUUUUUAUAAAGGUGAGUUUAAAUGGAAGCUUCUUAGCCCUAAUCAUCACCAGUUGUUGACAUGACCUUUGUAUUAGUGAAUAUGUUGAAAGUAAGAUGUAGCUCAAAAACCACUUUCCUCCAGGUUGCCCUGGCUAAUAUUUAAGCUUGAUUUUUGACAAACAGCGUAGAUACAAAGCUAGAUCUACUUGGUCCCACUACUUCUUAGCAAUAAAAUCCCAUAUGGAGAUUUGUAACCCCAAGUGUUUCCCUUCUAGAACUGAUGUGAUUGUGUGAUCCGCGCGAAUCAGAGUCUGCGGGGGCGAGCUUGGUUCUGGUCCCGCUACAGCAGGACGGAGCUACUGAGGCACGGUCACGGUCAUGAGUGCCCUUGGGGAGGUCAGGGAGGGGGCGGAGGGGAUACGUACUACUCCAUGACCAGGACAAUGUCGUUCUUAGACUCGAAGGCAUCGUACAGCUGGAUGAGGUUCGCGUGGUCCAGCUGGUUCAUGACGCUGAUCUCGUUCUUCACCUCCUCCUGAGAAGCAGGAAACAGUGCAUUAGUGUGGUCAAGAUGGGGCGGGGAGGGAGGGGACCACCUCCCACAGGCUGUACCUUGUCCUUCAUGCCUCUGGUCUUGAUGAUUUUGGCUGCCAGCUUCAGACCUGUGGCCGUCUCCUCACACUUGUGAACCUGGCCGAAACGCCCUCUGCCAAAAAGAGGAAGCGGCGUAGCAUGAGGCCCUGUGGUCAGCUGCCGAGUGGACAGCGCACAGUGGCCCCAGUAUUUCUCCUGCUGAGUCUGGAUGAGCAGCCCUCUGAGGAGUUCUUUCAGUAAACUUCUAGAGCAGUAUUUGUCAACAUGUGGUGUGUGGAUCACUUGCAUCAGAAUCACCUGGGAGCUGUUAAGAAAGCAGGUCUCGGCCGGGCACGGUGGCUCACACCUGUAAUCCCAGCACUUUGGGAGGCCGAGGCGGGAGGAUCACGAGGUCAGGACCAGUCUGGCCAACAUAGUGAAACCCCAUCUCUGCUAAAAAUACAAAUACAAAAAAUUAGCCAGAUGUGAUGGCAUGUGUCUGUAGUCCCAGCUACUCGGGAGGCUGAGGCAGGAGAACGGCGUGAACCCAGGAGGCGGAGGUUGCAGUGGGCCGAGAUCGCGCCAUUGCACUCCAGCCUGGGCGACAGUGCAAGAAUCCAUCUCAAAAAAAAAAAAAAAGAAGAAAGAAAGAAAGAAAAAAAAAAAGAAUCCAGGAUUCUGGGCCCUACCCCAGACCUCCUGAGGCAGGAAUCCAGGGGUAGGCCCCAGAAUCUGCAUUUCAGCACAUUUCUUGGGUGAUUCAUAUGCACCCUCACAUUUGAGAACCACCUUUACAGACAAUGCAGAAUCCUUCUGAAUACAUAUGAAUGUUAUGAG